CACGUAGGGGGCGAGCGUUGUCCGGAUUUAUUGGGCGUAAAGAGCUCGUAGGCGGUUCGAUAAGUCGGGUGUGAAAACUCUGGGCUCAACUCAGAGACGCCACCCGAUACUGUUGUGACUUGAGUCCGGUAGGGGAGUAUGGAAUUCCCAGUGUAGCGGUGAAAUGCGCAGAUAUUGGGAGGAACACCAGUGGCGAAGGCGGUACUCUGGGCCGGAACUGACGCUGAGGAGCGAAAGCGUGGGUAGCGAACAGG
rnacentral:rRNA from 2 species